AAAAAAGAAGAAGAUAAAAACACCCCCAGCGAUCCCUAGAUUCUUUCUCGAGAGAGCCUAAGAACGAUGGAGGAUUCAGAGAAUGAUCAUGUGAUGAGCGAGAUUCAUCUGGGUUGCCCACCCACCACUAUCGGACCCUUUAUUUCCCGAUUCACCUUCUCUUCUUGUCCACUACUACUCGAUCCCUCCUCGAUGAUUGAUAAAGAUGGUGACCUUCUUCUUCCUAGGCGGCGAAGAACCAGCCCAUCCUCUCACGGUCACGGUCACGGUCACGGGUCGUCGUUUACUGUCACCAUUCAGCAUUCUAUCACAUCAACCCUCCCUGAUGUUGGUCUGCAGGUCUGGAAAUCACAACUCGUCUUAUCAGAUUUUGUAUUGCAUAACAUGUCUCUACUCAAUGGCCUUGUGUGCCUUGAACUCGGUGCUGGAACAGGGCUGCUCGGUAUAUUGCUUGCACGGGUGGCCAAGGCUGUUUUCCUUACUGACCACGGAGACCAAAUUCUUGGCAACUGUCUUCGGAACUUGGAAUUGAAUUCUUCCCUCUUUCACCCUCAAGCUAUUGUUAAUGUUCGUGACCUCAACUGGAUGAGCGAAUGGCCUCUUCAAGUUACCCAUGCUGAUCCUAAACCGUUUUGUUGGAGCUUCCAGGACUUUGAACUAGUCAAAAGUGCUAGCUUCAUUUUUGCAGCAGAUGUGAUCUACAGCGAUGAUCUAACCAUUGCCUUGUUCAGCAUGUUAAAGAGACUCAUGUCCUUGGGUUGUGACAAGGUACUAUAUCUGGGUUUGGAGAAAAGAUACAACUUCAGCCUAGACGAUCUCAACGUUGUUGCCAAUGGCUACGCAUGCUUCAGAAGAUACAUCAAAGAAGACGCCCUUUGCGAUCAUUCCGACAAGAAGAGUUUUUUUGUGGGCAACCGCAUCGACCUCAAACAGAUCCCUCAGUACACCCAGGGCUACGAUAGAGGAGAAGAUGUCGAGCUUUGGGAAAUCAGAUAUGUACGUUAACACUCUAAUGAAGGAAGGAUCCAUUUCAUUCGCUUGUAACAACAACAGUUCAGAAAGAGACCAACCUACAAAAAAGAAGAAGCAAUCAACCGUAAGAAACAAGAGCGAUGCAGUCUUGGCGGCUGGAGAAUGGUUGGCGGUUCAAACCAGAAUCGAGCGAU